GAGUUUGAUCUUGGCUCAGAUUGAACGCUGGCGGCAUGCCUUACACAUGCAAGUCGAACGGCAGCAUGAUCUAGCUUGCUAGAUUGAUGGCGAGUGGCGAACGGGUGAGUAAUACAUCGGAACGUGCCCUGUAGUGGGGGAUAACUAGUCGAAAGAUUAGCUAAUACCGCAUACGACCUGAGGGUGAAAGUGGGGGACCGCAAGGCCUCAUGCUAUAGGAGCGGCCGAUGUCUGAUUAGCUAGUUGGUGGGGUAAAGGCCCACCAAGGCGACGAUCAGUAGCUGGUCUGAGAGGACGAUCAGCCACACCUGGGACUGAGACACGGCCCAGACUCCUACGGGAGGCAGCAGUGGGGAAUUUUGGACAAUGGGCGAAAGCCUGAUCCAGCAAUGCCGCGUGUGUGAGAAGGCCU
rnacentral:rRNA from 1 species